CGUUAACUUGUGCAUUUGACCAGCAACACUCUGAGCUCAUUCAAUCAGAUGCACUCAGGCCCACUGUGGACUGUUUACCUCAAGGCGUGAUGUAACAGCAUGUAAUAAUGCACACCUGCUGGGACUGAUGCUGCGUUAUGGCAGUCGUGCUGAAGUGACACUGCUGCUUUGCAUCGCUCAGUCUGCAGCUGAAGGCUCCAGGGACGAGCUGAAAGGGGGCUUAGUGUGUAGAAUGGGGGGAAAGAUGCACCGUCACACAGCAAAUAGCGCAACAUUACAGGAGGGAGGGCGUUAACAUUAAAGUAAAGACCAAAGCGGGUGGAAAAAGACCGAACUCAUUCCAGUAGAUCUUAUAGUAACCUGCUUUUCUUUAAACGUCCGGUCUCUAAAAUGCGCAUUGGGUCGCGGGUGGAGCCUGUUCUAGCGCAUUAAAGGCGAGCAUAAUAUUACCAGUGUGCACUAAUUAGCCGUGGCUCAUUGUGAGCGAGCGUGGAGCCUUUGAUCACGUUGAGAGAACACUUGUGUCGUCUCCUCCUGGAGCCGCGUCGCGCUCCUGCGCGGCUCUGCCGUCAGAGCGGUGCGCUCACGCGCCUUCACGUUGGUGCCGGAGGAGUCCGGGGCUGGAGGCUGGAGAGCCGACCGCAGCCACGUGCUGAAGCCCCGCCGCAGGCCCGACGUCCCUCUAUUAAAUGUCACGAGUAGCAGCUUUUUCCCCUCAGAGCCGUGAUGCGGGUUCCACCCGAGGGGAUUAACAGCCAAAUGCGCAAUCGCAAUGCUAUGCGUUGCUGUGCGUGGAGACGACUCGGUGCGGGGACACGCACGCGUGUGUUUGCGCCCAGGACACUGCGUGAAGCGCGAUGUCCCUUCGAUUCGCUGCAGAUGCGCGUGACAUUUCGGGGACCGUGUGGUGGACGCGACGCGACUUGGUUGCAAAUCAUAAACAGUGGAGCUGUGGACUAUUAAUUAUAUAAUCCUGCAACAGUAGUUGGCUAAUGUUCUCCAAGCGCAUUAAUAUUCUGCGUAUUGGCCCAUUACCACACAAAGCUUAUUGUUUUAUUUGAAUAUACAUAAUGUUAAUAUGCUUAGAAAUAAACCUUGUGAAGUGCAAUAAUCGAAGCACAUGGGGCGUUAGGAGUUUUUUGAGUAUAUGGAACAUAUUUCAGGGUUUUAUGUCAUACUUCCGGUUUUAUGAGCCACAGUUUGAUCACCUGGCUCCAGUCCAACUCAUCACAAGCUUCAACGGGCAGCUUUCGUCAGUGAUGGAGCUGCAACAGGCAGCACGAAACGCGGAUGUGGCUCAGAGAUGCUGAAACAUGAACCUGUACGCGUUUAUCAAACGUCUUAACUACUGCAGCUCUAUUCGAGCCAUGAAUCAACUUGACGAACCUGAAACUAUGGAAACUGCCGUCUCAGAGCUGCGUGGAUGUAUUUUGUCUCUCUCCCCACGGCUCGGAGUUUCAGCUCUGCCCACCUGCAACCCACCCUCACAAGACCGAACGAACGCUCAUUAUUCCCACGCAGACGUCACUUUUUCAUUCACAGUACAGUGCACAUUUUCCAUUUUCAUUUUCAUUUACCGAAGCCGUCUACAGUAGGUCUGUUCCAUCCAAACCAGGAUAAGGAGGAUCAGUCAGGUCAAGUUCAGGCAGCUGAGCAAAGAGGAACGCUCCGCUGCCCAAAAGAGAUUUUUUUUAUUAUUGCGGGAGGAUGUGGUUUUAAUCUGAUCACUACACGUCUGCGAUGUGAGAAAUAAAGUCCCGUGUCGGCACCGGCGGGUUGCGUCCGAGCUCCGACAGCUGUUCCAGAGGUCAGGGGCGCACGAGUGUGGAGCAGAGCUAAUAUUUACAUCGGCGAGGUGCAGGAGAGAAGCAGCGCCUCGACUCACAAGAAAUAAACAGUGGAGCUGAGUGUGAUGCAGUGGCGCCCUCCAGUGGUAGAAUUUAUAUAGUGAUUAAAUAAUAUAGCUGCUACGGUAAGUGCAUAUUUUUUUACAUGAAUAAACUUUAAAUCUGUUUGUUAAACAUUAUUCUUAGUCAGUUCACUGAGGUUUUUGCUUGUUUUGCUGCACAGAGACGUCACAAAAACUUUUUCUUUUUUUUUUCGCUAGUCUGGGGAGUGUCUUGUUUAUUGAGCACUUGAACCAGAAGAGGAUGCUGCUCUCUUACUGAUAGAAGGACAGGGAGCCCAACGCAGGCGUUACCACAGGAGCUCCGUGGUCCAGAGCUUUGUCCCAGUGAAGAACAGAAAAUACACAAAUUUGUGACAAAUGGUGGUUUAACAGUAGUGCUGUUUUAUUGUAGUAAAAGCAAAGGUGACAUCUGUCUGUAACACCUUUAUAAGAAUUUAAAAAUGUAAAGCCUCCUGUUUUUUUUCGUUUUUUUUUUUGUUCUUAUUUUUAUGUUAUUUUUAUGAGCCCUUCACGCUCCACACUGGUACAGCUCUCAUAGACGGAGCUGCGGCGUGAGACGAGCACGUGCACCUGGACCGUAGAAUUUAGUGUCGCCACUGGAAAAGCGUGUGCUCUGUAGAAAACGAGCGCCUUGUACACGUCCAGCUGGUAGAAUGACGAACACCCUGCGUGACCUCUUAAUAUAAAGGAUUUCUAUUUAUAAGUCCACAGAAGCCACCCAAACUAUUAGCUUAGCAAUUAGCAAUUGAUUAACUAAGGCUGUGUCAUUAUCUAAAAGGACAAAGCAGAAUCCACCAUUUGAACCCAGAUGAGAGCAGUGACUGGUUUCCAACAUCACAUGUCCCAUACACUGCCUCGAUCUGCUGCACGAUGGCCUCCAGAAGCCAUGAGAGGGCACGGCUCCUGCGGUCACCAAGCUGCCAUUCAGCCUGCAGCCCUGCAGCCCUGCGGCCGCCGCAUCGUGCUAGCGGGGACAUUGCACGAGAGAUGUGGAGCGAGGAAGCGCCAGAGAAAGUGGGAGAAGGGAGAGAG